rnacentral:lncRNA from 1 species
AUCAGAGCAGCGUUCUUGGCGUCUUGCUGCCCUUCCACAGCUAUCCAUCAACCCUCCACAACCAUCCAAAGCAAUUCCCACAAUUGCUUAAAAGAUCGUCAUCGAAUUCCGCCAUCAUCUCCACCACCGCGGAUCAUCCUUUGAUCUCCCCGUGAAUUGCAACAGGUUCUGGUUUCCUACCCUACUGCUGCUGCAAUUUAGUUAUCCUUAUUCGAAAAUCCAAAAAAAAAAAAAAAAAUUGUUCCUAUAUUGCUGCAUAAACUUUUCGUCACAAAGUUUUCAUCUCUACGAUGAAAGAUACUUUGCAGAAUUCCAGCCGCAUAGCACCAUCUGUUUGAUCUUGCUACUGUGCUUUUUCUAUCCAAAUUUCUACGAAUUUUUUAUGACAUCUUUGACACUUCCUAACAGUGGAUUUCCCUUUGGUUUCAUCAAAAAAUUCUCAAUAUAAACUACUGAUCUUUUAUGUCCAAUCUGCUGCACUUGAAUUGCAGAAUUCAAGCCGCAUAGCACCAUCUGUUUGAUCUUGCUACUGUGCUUUUUCGAUCCAAAUUUCUACGAAAUUUUUAUGACAUCUUUGACACUUCCUAACAGUUGAUUUUCCUUUAGUUUCAUCGAAAAAUU